GGAAAGUGGGGAUGACGUCAAGUCAUCAUGGCCCUUACGGCCUGGGCUACACACGUGCUACAAUGGUCGGUACAAAGGGUUGCCAAGCCGCGAGGUGGAGCUAAUCCCAUAAAACCGAUCGUAGUCCGGAUCGCAGUCUGCAACUCGACUGCGUGAAGUCGGAAUCGCUAGUAAUCGUGAAUCAGAAUGUCACGGUGAAUACGUUCCCGGGCCUU
rnacentral:rRNA from 1 species